AUGCUUAGGACUGUCGAACUGAAUCGCUGAAGUUCAGUACAAGCUGAUAGAAACUUGGAGCUCCAAAAAUCUCGACCUUAGGAUGCUUAAUUCGGUUGGAGGCCAAUCUAUCAAAUGGAGUAUUCGAUCUACUCUACAAGUUUGCUUAAAGGAGUUCUACGAGUUGAGAUGGAAUAUCUUGAGCAAUGGAGGGAUGAACAGAUCGUUUUGAAAGGAAGAAAUAAAAACAGUAAGAACAGAGGCGACAGGUACAGCCGUGCCGCCGCCGGCUCUCGCGCAUGCUGGCCAGCGCGAUGGCCACGUUUGCACCGCGCCGCCUACCACGAGCCGAGUUGGAUGUCGCACGGUGAAAGUUUGUAUUGCUACCCGCCUCGCCCUCAUCCAGUUAAUCUUCUGCCAUUUUGUUCUUCUGCCAUGCGAACCGAGUUGAGCAAUCAGUGCCGCCGCCGGCCAAUUCGUGCCACGCCGCCGCCCCUCUUUGCGAUUCCACCGCCCAAAGCUCCGUCAACUCCUCCUCGACGCCCCAUGCCCCUCCGUUUCCCAGCUCCCCGCCAUCAAGCUCCGGUGUGCCGCUGUUUUCAUCCGCCGGCCGCCGUCACCUAAUCCACGAGGUGAGCCUCUGAACCGGUUUUUCUUCUCAAUUGACGGGUCUAGGGGCAUCCUGUGAGAGUGUGGGAGCUGGAGGGGGAGUCGUGGAAGCCGAUUGCGCCGCCAACGUGCGCCGCCAUGGCCAACAAUUGGCCGAGCUACAGCCGCCCGUGGAGGGGCCAUCACGGACCGCCUCCCAGCGAACUGCGGCUGGGCGCGGGUGCGCCUGGCCUGGGGCGCCGCCACCCCCGUCCCACUCGGCCGCCAGAGAGCCGCCGUCGGCCGGGCUGCCCCGUUUUCCUCCCGCCGGCAUGCGCCCAACCUUGGCCAGGGGAAGAAGAAACCCCUGACCGAGGGGGCCCGCCCGUCAGCCGCACGGAGAGGAGGAAAAGGAAAAGAUUAUAAGCCAGCCAUCCGUCAUGGGCCGGGGGGGGGGGGGGGGGGAAGCGCCGGCCCAACUGGCCGCGCGGUAUAAAAGAAAAAGGAGGAGCCGGUGGGCUGUCCGAUGGUUGGAUAGGAAAAUGGGCCGUGCGGCCCAGGUGGAGAAAGCCACGGCAUACAACGCGUCGGACAAGGCCGCUGCGGAGGCGAACCAGCCCAGGUGGAGUGGAAAAGAAAAAGGGGGCCGGCGGAGGAAAGAAAGGCCAUGGGCCGGAUUAGUAGACCGAGCACCGGAGGAAGAAAAGAAAAGAGAAGGUGGGCCGAUCGCGGUUGAGAAAGAGAGGAGAAAAGGGGAGCCGGCCCAAGCAAGCCUGCCGCAAAGAGGCCCAUGCGCCACAGAUUAAGAACCGACGGGCCACCUUUCGGCCCAAGGGAAGGUUUCGGCCGUGGGCCCCACUCAUCAGUGAGGAAGAGAGGAAGGAAGUAGGAGGCCGGGUGGACCCUAGGUGGAAGUGAUAGUGGGUAGAAGAAGGUUAAGUGAGAGAAGUUUGGGCCGGGGGUUUAUAAAUAAACCUUAGGUUUUCUUUUAUUAGAUAAAUAGGUUAAAUGCGAUUUUCACCAUUUAAUUCACAGGAAAUUCUAGAAGUGUCCAAAAUUAGUGAAACCAAUUUUGUUAGGUUUGUUUUAUUUUCCUUUAUGCAUUAAAAUUCUUAAACCCUAGGAAAAUAAUAAAAAUUUAGGUAUUUAUUUAAUGCCUUUUUGUUUAAGGUAUUUAAAUAAAUACUUAAAACAUUAUUAAAUGUAUAAAACUUGAAAAAUGUUUUAUUAUCCACAAAUCCUUAUUAAGUCAUAGGAAAUAAGUUUUUGAGAUUAGAAAAUUAUUAUAAUGCUUUUAAAAAUAAAGAAAAAGGUCUAAGAUAGGAUUAGUAAAGGAAAUAAAAAUUGUGGGCUAAUCUUUGGGGUUUUUGUGUGUUGGCUUGCAACUUUAUCAUGAUAAAUUGUAUAGUCCUUGUUGGCUUGCAACUUUAUCAUGAAGGAAAGUUGUAUAGUCUUGUAUUCAAAAGUUUGCAUCUCUAACUCUUGCAUAUACUGAAUCGUAGACGUCACAACUCCUGAAGUGGGAAUUCAUGGAUUUCAGCUGGAGAUGGAUAGCAUUCGCGAAAUGUGGAGUACCUCUUUUAAUAAAGAAGUUUUCCGAAGAACUAACCUUUGUUGAUCCCAGGCAAGCCCCGGUGCAUUUAUACCUAUAUAUUUGGAGUCGUUAUUUCAUGUGACUUAUUAUUGGUUAUUUGCUUUAUGUAUGCACUAAGUCUAGGAGUUGCUUGAAACCUAUUCUUGUGUAUAAUUAUACCUUGAUUUAAGGACAUCUUUGCCACUUGUUCAAACCUUAGAAGAUAACCCAAGUCUAGAAAUGCUUAGUUGCUUAAAUGCUUGGUUUACCAACCUUAAGGAAAAGCUUUGAGUCAUACAUGUGAUAUAUGGAAGGUUAACUUGGAAUCGGGUAGCGGACAGAAGCUAGAGAUAUAGUUCUGUCUGCUAGAUUAAUUUGAUUAAGGCCCGAUUCGUUGUCUUAACCUUUGAUCAAGUGAUAAGCAUCUGAUCACUUACUGGGUAUGGGACCAGUAAAGCCUAGUAGGUUAGUAAACUCUCUGAUCGGGAAUACUUCGUACCCGCGCUUGACGUGCUAGAGAUUGGCAGGGGUGUAGCCUGAAACUCACAUGGUGAUCGGGCCAGACGUGGGGUCCCAUGUGGGGGUGCGUCCCUGGGUCCGGGUAGUCUUAUUCCCAAUCAUUGGAUUUGCUGAUCGAAAAGUCGUUACGUACGACCUGUACAGUCGUAUAUAGCUGGUGAUCAGGGUACUCUCCUGCAUGAUGUAAAUGGAUCCGGAUCGCCGCAAUUCUCGGUUAUGAAUGCAGUUGAUCACUGUUGAGCAUCGUAGUGUAAAUUCAUGAGUGUUAUACCUUUCUGAUAAACGAGUGAUGUAUGGCUUAAAUAUCUUAUGGUUGUAUUUGCUCUUUUCUCAUCAUCUAGAAUGGUUAGGUAAUGACUUAACCCAAAUAAAAGAUAAAACUAAGGCAUCACUUGUAGUAAGCUUCUCAGCAAAAAUUGCAUUAGCCAAGUACACCAAAAAGCUAAGCAUACACUUCCAAAGAAAGCUAUUGUAUUGGUUAGUCGGGUAAGACUUGCUGAGUACUUCGUACUCAGGGGAUCCCUUGUUGUUAUUUUCAGAAAAACCAGUAAGGACUCACCGAAGAGGAAGCCCCGAAGAUCUAGGGUAUCUUAUGAGUCUCAUGAUACUCUAGAAUAAAACUUAAAUGUUUAUCUUUCUUCCGGACUGGUUUAUGUUUUAAAUUCUUAGAACCACGCUAACCUGCACUGUUUAGUUUCUUCAAUCUAUGGUUGUAAUAUAUCGUACCUUUGUUAUGUCUUUAAAAAUGUAAUAUUUGUUGAUGUUAUCCCAUCGCGGAUACUAUCCUGAUAUAUGGCUAUGAGACACGUCGUGGAUCCUUCGAGGAGUCCUAGGGACACUCGACGGACUACCGGACUUAUGCUGUUUUAGGUGCAUUUCAGGUAAUUGCUGUUCCGACAGCGAUUAGGCGCACUUAAACCAGCUUAAGUUGGGCGGUUCCGCCACAGCUGGUAUCAGAGCCGUAGGUUGGGAUAAUCAACAGAUAUUACCGUUUAAAAACUGAGACUCUAUUUUAAAAUAAAGAAAACAUGAGUCACAGGUGGCAGUAGUGUUAAACUGGUUGUUUGUUUUGUAGAUGCUGACUGUUUGCUGCGUGUCGCUAGUAUUCGGUAGUCUAUUAUUUAGGGAGAGAUUACGAUGCCACCAAUUUUUCUACGAGUGUGUAUAUUAGUCUGAAAGUACGUAGGAAUCGUUGCAUCAUGUUUGCAUUGCAUGUUUCAGAACUUUUGGGUUUGGAGAGUGCCGUUAGACCUAAACCCGUCCCAUGUAAUAGAAGCUAGACGUAGUAAGGGGGUCGAUGCAACAGAGAAUUGCAGAAGAGAAGAUCAAGACAGACGGAUGGACACCCAAUCUUAUUUGGAUAAGCAAUUAGGACAACUUAGAUUGUCUGGUGUGAGAAGAAUAAGGAAUAAAUUGGAUUCAGUCUAACAAGAGUUAUGGAAUUAGAAAUCAGGACCAUAGUAUUGGAAGCAUUGUGUAAAGGUUUGAAGGCUUUUUCUCAAAUAGAGCAAGACGUUAUUGCAAUCACUUUAUGAGAUUAAAAGACUUCAAUAUAUACUCUUCAUCAACAUUCCCGUUCCAGUAAUAUUAUUAGAGAGAAAGGAAUGAAGGUUCAAGGAUAAGGGAAAAUGAUACUCCAUAUGAUUUCGAUAUAAGUAAGAAGGCAGCUCUUGUACGAGAUCGUAAUAUGGGAAAAGUUAUGAGAAAAGCGGUUAAAGAAAUUGGAUGAAUAUGAGGCUAAUUGACGAAAGCCCAGGAAUCUAUUGAUCCUAAUGCCUCGGGGAUAUAUUGGAAAACCAUGAAAGCCAAGGUAAAUCGAUUGGAAAUCAAGAAAUCAAAACAACAAGAUGAAAUCUUUUUCUCUCCGAUUCAUAAUACAGAAGAUGCAGGCUCGGAUUGCUGGCACGAAAAUUAGGUAACUAUCCUACCUUCAGGAAGACAACAUCUAUUCGCCCGGUAGCAGUGAAAGGAAAGGAGGAUAUUGUGGGUAACCAUAUGAGUAUGAUUAAAUUGGCAUCUUAAAAAGGUAGAUUUGCAUGUUUGUGAGAAUCGGGAUGGCCUCGGUGUGGAAAUGGAAGAGAAUUUAGAAAGAGUCAUAUAGAACUUAAUCAACUGUUAGCUAAGGACAAUGUUGAUGGGGUUGUUUAAGAGAAACAUAUACCAAGGUUUGCGAGAUGCAGGGAAUAAUGAUAUUAAAGAACAAGAGGAAGUUUAAUGAGUUUCGGUCUGUUGGAUUUUUGUGACCCCAGAAUGUUGGACCCAGGAAGACACAUUUAAUCCAGGUCAGAACCCGUGAUGUAGAGCCGCCAUAAAUUCUUACCUUGGUUGAUGCUAUUGCUAGUCUUAUGAAUUCAAGAGCUAAGCAGGCUAGACUGCUGAGCAGGGACAUCCAAAGUACAGGGAAUUAACGUGGUUGUUGGGAAUUGAAGCAGUAUCAAAACCACCAAUUUUUGGAGACACUAUUCUUAACCUUUCACACAACAACUGGAUAGGUACUAUCCCAGCUGCUCUAUGUGAUCUACAAGUUCUCAGUCCGCUAAAUUCGUCUCGCAAUCAUCUCAUGGGAACAGUGCCGAGUGUUUCAAAAAGGUUACAGCUGUUACACUCAAUGGCAAUCAAAGUCUUUGCGACGGAGUAUGAGAGCUGCAUAUACCCGCAUACGCUGUUGUUUCUUUGUAUACAGCAAGAUUAAAAAAAAUUUGGGUUAAAAUAUGUAUCCCCAUUGUUGGUUUUAUGGCGCUAUUCAUAUUAUAGUGAUGCCUUAUACUUCAAUAGAGAAAGUCCUUCAUAAUGCAAUCACCGUUGGUUUCUUCUAGUAAGAACUUCUGUAAAGUUUUCUACAAGGAUUGAAUUCAGGUCACUGAGAAUUUCACGGAGUCUUUGAUUAGGAAAGGAAGCUAUAGUUCAGUUUACGGAGAAAAGCUAAUCCAGGUAAAUCGGGUUACUGGCUGUGGAGGUUUUUGACAUGAACAUAUAAGGCACCGAUGGGAGUUUUAUGUCAGAAUGUAAAGCUCUGAGGAGAUGUGUACAGUUUUGGAGUAUUGCUGGCAGAGACACUAACAGGGAAAAAGCUAGUAAAUCCUAUGUUCUGCAAUGGAGUAAGCAUUAUUAACCAUUAUCGAGAAGAAUCUUCCAGACCAGAUACUUCAUAUCCUUGAUGUUCAACUCUAAAAAGAAUACCAGGAGUUUUCUGGAGCAGAUUUGGAAGAAGAUAACACAAUCUAUUCGUACUUGUUAAAGCUGCUAAGAGUGGCAUUUUCCUGCACAUGUCAGCCCCUAAUCACUGUAUAAACAUGAGACAAAUUGUUGCAGAAUUACAUGUAAAUCCAAACAUUAUAUAUGUUAUGAACACAUGUGUGAUUCUUCGAUGUACGAAAACUCAAAAGAGUGAGUUUGCAGGACAUUAACUCCAAGGUCCCGCAUGCACAUGAUGGACCAGCUAUCUGGCUAGGCGAUCCGUCAGAAAGAAGAUAGCUUGGGGAGAUUUCAAGACAAUUAUUUGUACCCAGUUUCUGUUAAAAAGGAUUAUAAGAGUGCAGCUGGAACAACUUCUAAAAGUUUAGCAGAGACACAAGAGUGUUCGGGAGUAUCUAAGCGCAUUCGACCAUCUGGCACAAUGUGCUCCCGAAUAUAUGAACAAUGAGUCUGAGAAAAAGGAAUUGCUCCCAAGUAAUUUUACAGAUUAUAGUUCUGCCAUAAACAUAGUAAUCCUCAGAGAAGAUGAACGCUAUGGACAAGACCCUUGGAAGGGAGGAGUCCUUGGAAUGGGAGGACAUUUCUUUCGAGGCGUCGGAAAGUAUUCCUCAGGAAUUGAAAGAUUGUCUGCCGAGAACCUGCUAGAUCUACUUAUAGGCCCCAACCACAAUUGUCAUAUCAGUCAUGGGUUAUCCAGAACCCAGAUAAUACUCCCUGUUCGACGAACCCAUGAGACCCUGAACUGGUUUCGCCAGAGAUCUCCAUUUUCAAAGGAAAGGGGAAAAUAUGAAUGAGAAAGCUCAGAUUGCGCGCCAAGGAUCGGGUCAAAAAGUCUAUCCGAAAGAAGUUCCUUAACUAGAAGGAAGGGACAUGAGCAUUAUAUGGAUAUUAACGAGUUUCUAAAAAGUUGAAUUUGCAUGCAUUCCUGAGAAUAGUAAGAUGUGUCAAGCUUUGAAGCAAGGGUUUUUGACGAACAAGAAUAAAGAAGAAUAUGCGGAGCAUUUGCGCAUUAUUUUGGGUAGAUUCCGGAGCAUCGACUAUAUGCCAAGUUUUAGUGAGUGUGAAUUUUGGCUAAAGAAGAUUCCGUUCAUUAGGCAUGUUUUGUCCGAAUAAGGAAUUGAAGUGGAUCCUGGAAAGGUCAAGGACAUAAGCCGCCAAUAACUUUUCAGGAAAAGAAGUUUUCUUAAAAUGGCCAGACACUAUCGAAGUCAGAUCUGAAUGUGAGGCAUGAUAUGGUUGAAACUGAUCAAAGAAUAUAAAUUAGAGAUUUUAUCAUCCGAACAAAACUAAUGUACCCUGCAUAACCUUAUCUUGCACGAUAUCUUAAAGAAAGAGAUAGAACAAGCUCAGAAGAAGGACAAAGGAAUAUGAAUACUUCGGAAAUAAGUAAGCCAAGGUGAUAUUACUUAUUUUACCAGGAUGAAAAGAGGAUGUUCUAUUUCAAAAACUGGAUAAUAGUACUCAAGAAGAUGGGCUUGAGAAAGAAGAUCUUAGAUGAAGCUUGAUGUUAAGAUUCUCUAUGCACCCGGGGAGUAUUAAGAUGUAUUAAUACAUAAAGCAAUGAUUUUGAUGGACAAGAAUGAAAAGGGAAAUAGCCAAGUAUGUAUCUGAAUGUGAUACGUGUCAAAAGGUGAAAGUUAUAUAUCAGAAAUCGGUCGACGUAUUGCAACCCUUAACCAUUCCUAAAUGGGAAUAGGAAGACUUUUCCAUGGAUUUUUCAGUACGAUUUUCUACUACCUUAAAGGGGUAUGAUUUCAUACGAGUUAUCAUAACUCGACUCACUAAGUCGGCUCAUUUCAUUCCUGUCAAGACCGUUUACCGUAUGCCAGCUCAUGUAGAACUUUAUAUGUAUCGGGUAGUAUCAUUACCUGAAGUACCCAAGACAAGUGCCUUUAAUUGAGGUUCUCAAUUUGUCUCUGGAUUCUGGGAACAAAUGCAUGAGACAAUGGGAACUACCCUUAUUAAGAGCAAAGGAUGCUUGAUUAGACAGAAAAAGUAAAUCAAACCUUGGAAGAUACAUUUCGAGCCUGUAUUCUUACCUUCUUGAAGAAAUGGGAAUGAAUGUUUGCCUCUAGCAAAAAUGGAAAGAAUGUUUGCUUUUAAUGUGGUCAAAAUCAAGAGAAAGAGCACAUUGGAAUCAGAUCUAGUCAUUUAAAGUUGAGGAAAAAGUUCAGAAAAAUUAUAAGAACCUUGAAAUAGCUUAGUCCUGACAGAAAAGUUAUUCGGAUAAAAGAAAAGGAUCCUUGGAAUUUUAUUUUGAGACUUUGUACAUUUUGGAGUAUCCCGAUGAAAGGAGUACACCGAUUUGGAGUCAAAGAAUGUUGCUCCGAAAUAUAUGGGUCCGUAUAAAAAUUCUGAAUCAGAAGACCAUCAAUACUCAAACUAAGAGUAUCAGAUUGUACAAGGUGCAAAUGAAAGAAUCAUGCUCCAGAUGAAGCUACUUGGGAACAGACUGAAGACCUAGAGUCUAAAUAUUCUGAGUUAUUUGAAACUGUCAUUGUCAGAUGAACAAAAGCCCCCACCUCACUUUCCUUAUACAGACAAGAGAAAGAUAUUAUGUCUGAGGCAGUUUCCUUUCCAUUCUCAAAAACCGAGGAUUUAACCCCAGGAAUCUCGGGACGAGAUUCUGUUAAGGGGGAGAGGCUGUAACAGCUGCCAUUUUAGUCAUUUAAGUGACUUGGAUGAAUUGGAAGUAAUUCAAGAAGAAAGGAAAAAGAGAUUGACCGAAAAUCAAAUUCGGGUCAAAUUUGGCCGAAAUUUGAAUUUUGAAUUUGAAAUUCAAAAAAAUUCGACAAAAAUAUAGAAUAGAAGUGUAAAGAUGAUUAGAACUUAAGGGUCAAAAAUUUGGGAUAAUAUUUGAUCCUAAACACUCAAAAGAAAUCAGAGAAGGAGAGGAAAAACUACGUUUACUAUUCACCGUCCGAAAACAAGAAAUCAGAAAAACAGCCUCAGAGUCCAUUUUAGAAAGUGAAUUCUGAUAAAUUUCUCAAAUAAGUAAAUCAGGACAACUAUACCAUGUUGAAGUAUGAACUUUGGACUCCUAAAUAUGGGUGUUUUUGAUCAGGAAUAGCAGAGGGAACUAUUUCAAAUGGAGGCCUAAAGUUGGCACUUUGUCACAAUAGGCAGCUUUGCUGGAAUUUGGUCAAGUCUGAAAAUGGUAGUGAGUACAUGACUUUAGAACCAAUUUCUGGAGAAAUUUCCUUAAAAGUGAGCAAAGGCAACUAGACAGCGGUGAAGUAUGAUCCUUGGACAUGUUUAAUAAGGUGUUGUUGCUCAGAGAUAGCGAAAGAAUCAAAUUUAAAUCAAAGCUCAAAGUCAGCACUCUAACUAUUUCGGCCAACUCUUGAGCUGCAUAAAUUCUAAGUCUGAAAACAGUGUUAACUAGCAAUGUUUGGAGCAAAUUUCAGGAAAAUCCAGUGCAAAGGUUAUAUGGUUUCUUGUGCAAAAUGGAAUCCUUAUUAGUUGUAGAACACAAAUAGUGAGUGGUUGGCCCAUAUGGAAUACAUUUGGACUACUGAAAUUGGUGCCAAAGUAGGGUAAAUAACCAUGCUUAGGACUGUCGAACUGAAUCGCUGAAGUUGAGUACAAGCUGACAGAAACUUGGAGCUCCAAAAAUCUCGACCUUAGGAUGCUUAAUUCGGUUGGAGGCCAAUCUAUCAAAUGGAGUAUUCGAUCUACUCUACAAGUUUGCUUAAAGGAGUUCUACGAGUUGAGAUGGAAUAUCUUGAGCAAUGGAGGGAUGAACAGAUCGUUUUGAAAGGAAGAAAUAAAAACAAUAAGAACAGAGGCGACAGGCAGAGCCGUGCCGCCGCUGGCUCUCGCGCAUGCUGGCCAGCGCGAUGGCCACGUUUGCACCGUGCCGCCUACCACGAGCCGAGUUGGAUGUCGCACGGUGAAAGUUUGUAUUGCUACCGCCUCGCCCUCAUCCAGUUAAUCUUCUGCCAUUUUGUUCUUCUGCCAUGCGAACCGAGUUGAGCAAUCAGUGCCGCCGCCGGCCAAUUCGCGCCACGCCGCCGCCCCUCUUUGCGAUUCCACCGCCCAAAGCUCCGUCAACUCCUCCUCGACGCCCCAUGCCCC
rnacentral:lncRNA from 1 species